UGAAGAUUGCAUUGCCAGGGUAACUGUAGUUGAAUACAAGUUUAAAAUGUACAAAAGCUUGAACACAUUUCAACUUGACUUCCUUCUCUACAUCAUGAUCUCUCUCUCUCUCUCACGCGAUUGAGAGAUGGAACGCGACCAACAAUUAAUGUUCAGUCAUCAUCUGUGCCAAAAUACCUGUCACCAAACUCCCCCAUUCCAGGGAUA
rnacentral:misc_RNA from 1 species